UGGUUACAGUCAUUCUUUAAAAUAUUUUCGUUUGUGUUCAACAGAAGAAAGAAAUUCAUACAGGUUUGGAACAACUUAAGGGUGAGUAAAUGACAAAAUUUUCAUUUUUGGAUGAACUAUCUCUUUAAAACUCAUUCUUAUGCCGCUUCACACUGUUAUUUUCCAUGGAACAAAAAAGGGAAAACAUUGAAGAUUUUUUGCCUCCGGAUGCUUUUUAACCUCUUUUCCACACAACAACAUUUAAGUGACUACAGCUGUCUUAACUCAAAAAAAAUCAGCAAAAGGAAAGAUUUCCGGUGAAUAACAACCUACAUUUCAGUCUUUUGACUUCAGGAGGUUUGGAAUAGUGUACAAGCCAUAUGGACUACUUUUAUGGUGCUUUUUGUCCUCUUUGGAACUUGGCAGCUGUGGUCACCAUGAUCAUGACACCUUUUGUGAUUCACUAAACAAACAAACAGCAACUAAAAAAACAAACCAACUGUCAUGCAAAUACAAGGACAUCAUGCAAGGAUGCAAAUGUUUGCUAGGCCUACUUAAUGAAAACUGUGUUAAUAACAUACACAUUGUAGAAACACAAAACUACAUCUGAUUCACUGUAACGACAUCUUAUGAAGUGCUUUAAAGUCAUAUUUGUGGGAUUUUGUGUAUAUUGAUCAAAAUAAUAAAAUAUGAACAUGAUACAAAUAAGUUGUUUUUAAGACCCCCCCCCCACACACACACACUUAUUGUUAUUAUUUUAAUAUAGUCUCACCAGAUAUGCUGUAAAACUAUAGACAGUUGCAGUCAUCGUGACACGACAUGAGUUUAGUAAAAUACAGGUAAACCACACACUUUAAAUAUUGUUCCUGUUACAUUUAUAUAACAUGACCAGCCUCUUAUUUCCUUGAUACUGCAAUGUGAAGAGCGACUGAUGAGACGCUACAGCACACAUGGAGAGGACACUAUGAAGGUUUGAGGCUCUCUGAGGUUUAAGUGAGCUGCCGAACAUGCCUCAAUCUGAUGAGCAUUUGUCGAGUAUCUUCGAAGAGCUGAGCAAGCUGUCCUUUCGCAGACAGCAGCUCACGGACCGACGGAAUGUCCUGGCCAUGCUCAUCCAAUUCAAGCGAAACAACGGCCAAAAUGAGCAACAGUAUUCCAAAGAAACUGGAGAACUUCAACAAAUUGACGAGGAGCUUAAAGUUCUUUCUGACAGGAAGAUUGAACUUGAGGAAGAGCAAGAGGCGGGCUCCCAUUUAAUAGACACAACUAGGUCAUCUAGCGUCAUAUUUGUGGACAACCCACCUCCGUUUCCAG